UGCCAGCCGCCGCGGUAAUACGAAGGGUGCAAGCGUUGUUCGGAUUUAUUGGGCGUAAAGGGCGAGUAGGCGGAUUAGUAAGUCAUAUGUGAAAUCUCGGGGCCUAACCCCGAAACUGCGUCUGAAACUGCUAAUCUAGAAUCCCAAAGAGGAAAGGGGAAUUUCGCAUGUAGGAGUAAAAUCCGUAGAGAUGCGAAGGAACACCGGCGGAGAAGUCGCCUUUCUGGUUGGGUAUUGACGCUGAGGCGCGAAAGCGUGGGUAGCAAACAGGAUUAGAUA
rnacentral:rRNA from 1 species